UACGUAGGCAGCGAGCGUUGUUCGGAGUUACUGGGCGUAAAGGGUGUGUAGGCGGUUCUUUAAGUUUAGUGUGAAAUCUCCCGGCUCAACCGGGACGGUGCGCUGAAUACUGAGGGACUAGAGUACGGGAGAGGAAAGUGGAAUUCCUGGUGUAGCGGUGAAAUGCGUAGAUAUCAGGAGGAACACCGGUGGUGUAGACGGCUUUCUGGACCGUAACUGACGCUGAGACACGAAAGCGUGGGUAGCAAACAGG
rnacentral:rRNA from 1 species